GGUCAGCCUGAGAGCUUCAGCCAAUUUCCUUUUCCAAGCAGGAAUGUUUUCCUAGGAAGGGAGGAGAAAGGGUGAGAAGUGGGAGGACAAGAGGUUUGAGAUUUAUUGCAUCUUAACAACACACUGUAGGACUACAGUCGCAUUAA